rnacentral:rRNA from 1 species
GUCCUCUUGAGUAUGAUUUGAGGUCCGGCCUGCUCACUGACAAGGUUUUAAAGAGCCGCGGUAUUUUGACCGUGCAAAGGUAGCAUAAUCAUUAGUCUCUUAAUUAGAGGCUGGAAUGAAUGGUUUGACGAGAAAUCAACUGUCUCUUAAUAAUUUUUAAAAUUUAACUUUUAAGUCAAAAGGCUUAAAUUUUUCUUUAGGACGAGAAGACCCUAUAGAGCUUGACAUUUUAUUUUUAUAUAGUUUUUGGUUAGUCUUUCUAUAUUUAAUGAUAAUGUUUUGUUGGGGUGACAUGAAGAAUAAAUAAACUCUUCAUUAUAAAAUCAUUGAUUUAUGUUUAUCAUGAUCCAUAAUUUAUGAUCAUAAGAUUAAGUUACCUUAGGGAUAACAGCGUAAUUGUUUUUGAGAGUUCAUAUUGACAAAACAGAUUGCGACCUCGAUGUUGGAUUAAGAAAAAUUUUGGGUGCAGGAGCCCAAUAAUUAGGUCUGUUCGACCUUUAAAUUCUUACA